UGAGCAACCUGCCCUUGACCCUGGAAUAACAGCUGGAAACAGCUGCUAAUACCGGAUACGACCUCCGACGGCAUCAUCUGGAGGUGGAAAGCUCCGGCGGAGAAGGAUGAGCUCGCGGCCUAUCAGCUAGUUGGUGUGGGUAAUGGCCCACCAAGGCGACGACGGGUAGCCGGCCUGAGAGGGUGACCGGCCACACUGGGACUGAGACACGGCCCAGACUCCGUAGGGAG
rnacentral:rRNA from 1 species